CCAGACUGGAGGCAACAUAUGCAGUUCUCUCCAGCUGAGCUGUGUGGGGGAAUUCCACCAACAAUGAAUUUAUGGUUGAUUUAAAUUCAUUGACUGGCUCUUCUCUAUCAAUAGGGCAAGUCUUUCCACAAGAGACCCCAGGAAAAUCACACUGCAAUGGCUCAGACUUACAGCCUCACUGCCUGGUGGGACUGUGAAAUGGGAAGACAUUCUCAAUCCAUCUGCAAUAAAUACCAAAAAUGUAAACAGUGAGUAACAGCAAAAUAUGGUAAUGGAAUUCAUAUAUUAUUUGUUAUGAACAUUU
rnacentral:lncRNA from 11 species